rnacentral:rRNA from 1 species
GACGAACGCUGGCGGCGUGCUUAACACAUGCAAGUCGAGCGGUAAGGCUCCUUCGGGAGUACACGAGCGGCGAACGGGUGAGUAACACGUGAGCAAUCUGCCCUUCACUCUGGGAUAACCCCCGGAAACGGGAGCUAAUACCGGAUACGACCACUUCAGGCAUCUGAUGGUGGUGGAAAGUUCCGGCGGUGAAGGAUGAGCUCGCGGCCUAUCAGCUUGUUGGUGAGGUAAUGGCUCACCAAGGCUUCGACGGGUGGCCGGCCUGAGAGGGUAACAGGCCACACUGGGACGGAGAAACGGCCCAGACUCCGACGGGAGGCAGCAGUGGGGAAUAUUGGAAAAGGGGCGAAGGCCUGAUCCAGCAACGCCGCGUGAGGGAUGACGGCCUUCGGGUUGUAAACCUCUUUCAGCAGGGACGAAGCGAAAGUGACGGUACCUGCAGAAGAAGGACCGGCCAACUACGUGCCAGCAGCCGCCGUAAAAC